UACGUAGGGUGCAAGCGUUAAUCGGAAUUACUGGGCGUAAAGCGUGCGCAGGCGGUUAUGCAAGACAGAUGUGAAAGCCCCGGGCUCAACCUGGGAACCGCGCUUGAGACUGGCACGCUCGAGUUCGGGAGAGGAUGGUGGAAUUCCCAGUGUAGAGGUGAAAUUCGUAGAUAUUGGGAAGAACACCGAUGGCGAAGGCAGCCAUCUGGACCGACACUGACGCUGAGGCGCGAAAGCGUGGGGAGCAAACAGG
rnacentral:rRNA from 1 species